UAAAAACGACACAGAUGCAGCAGAUCUGUUGUCAUGGAAACAGGCACUGAAACAUUGAUUGUGCUUUUAGAGGACAUUCAAUGGGAGAGGCUGAAAUGUCCCAGUUCUUCUGUUUUUAGAACAAAAUCAUUAAGAGGGAGGGAUGUUUUUAACAUGGUGGAAAUAAAAAAUCUUGUCUAGAAAAUGAU